AUGAUGCCUCAGCAGGGCACGCCGCCGUCGUUCCGCGGCCUCGUGCCGCUCGGCCGCCCCCGGGAUCUCGUCAUCAAGGUCAACUAUGGUGGCACUCUCAAGCGGUUCAGUGCUUCGGUGAAUGGUUCAAACUUAGAUCAUAAUCUUGCUGCCCUUCAGUCAAAGAUUGCAAAUGCUUUUAAGUUCAGCCCCGAGGAGCAAUUUAUUCUCACAUAUACUGAUGAGGAUGGAGAUGUUGUGAUGUUGGAUGAUGAUGAUGAUUUACGUGAUGCUGCUGUUAGUCAGGAGCUGAACCCUCUUAGGAUUGAUGUUCAGUUGAAAAGCAGCACUGCCGGGGCACCUCAGCCUAACCAGCAAGCCUUGAAUUCCAGGUCUAAGAUGUCGGCAGCUAUGGAAGAUCAACUAGCUCAGGUGAAAUCAGCUAUUGAUGAAGCCUUGAAGUUUGUACCAGAGCAAGUUCCUGCCGUCCUUGCUAAACUAUCACAUGAGCUGCGCUCUAAAGCUGCAUCAUCGGCACCACCAGUGCGUGACUUGCUGGAUCGAAUUGCUAAACUGAUGACACCCAAGAGCGGCAUGGAACCUACCAGUGGUCUCUCUGACAGUUCAUCUGGUUCCUCUAGUGGUAAUCCACAAACAUUUAGAGACAUGAAACAUAAUAAUGCAUGUGAAUCUGCAACAGUUCCAGCUUCACAUUCGCAACAUGCUAAAUCAUCUAGAGCACUUGGUCUUAAGAGUGUGCUAGUUGAGAAGACCAAUGCUCAAGUUCAACAAGCGCCAGGCUGUACUUCAAUUGGGGUUCCAUCGGUUCUAGUCGGUUCUGGUGGAAAACUCUUGUAUCAUAAGAAAAGAACUGAUGCCCUGAGUAAGGGGAAAUCACAUGCCCAAAGUAUGGGGAAAUCUGUCGUGUCUUCUUCGGUGCCACCUGUUCCUUCAUUUGCUCCUGGUGGAUCUACUCUUGGUUCUCCGAACGGUUAUACGCCCUUUGGGAAUAUCAAAAAGAUCAAUGGUGAUUCAAGCUCAGCCUUCCCUGCCCCCAGAGGCCCUCCACCCAGUUCAAUGCCGACCUUCGAAACUAUUCCGAGACUUCCCCCUUACUGUUCACUUCCAACCCAUGGUUUGCAGAAGGCAUUCCCUCCUCCACCUGCCUAUGACUACAAUCAGUUUAGCUUCAGUAGGCCUUCCGCAGUUAAUCCAUAUGGAAUUUAUCAAGAUCCCUACUCAUUUGGUUCAUACAGUGGGUAUGGUAUCCCACAGCAGUCGGUUCAUAAAUGGGUAGAAUGUGAUGGCUGUGGGGUGACACCUAUUGUUGGGCCUCGCUACAAGUCCACUGUCAAGUACAACUAUGAUCUAUGCAGUGCUUGUUUCUAUCGCAUGGGCAAUGAGGCUGAAUAUGCCAGAAUGGACAAGCCACUCUCAGUAAGUGAAAGAUUGAGAAACCUGAAUAAGGAUAAGAGGUUCCUCCAACUUGACUGCCGUUUCGUCAAGGAUCUCACUGUCCCUGAUGGAACACGAAUGGCGCCAUCAACUCCAUUUCGUAAGAUUUGGUGCAUGCUUAACAAUGGAAAUAUCGUAUGGCCUUAUGGAACCCACCUUGCCUGGGUUGGUGGAGAUCAAUUUGCUCGCCAAAGCUUAGUGAAAUUAGCGAUUCCAGAGGCUGGUUUCCCCUUGAAUGGAGAAAUCGAUGUUUGUGUUGACUUUGUUUCACCUGCGAAACCUGGUAGGUACAUAUCGUACUGGAGACUAACAUCGCCAGACCUACAGAAAUUUGGUCAGCAAGUUUGGGUUCUUAUUGAGGUGGAAGAGCCUGUUCAAGCCGGUGACAAUCAAACUGCUGCAAUAGACUUGAACUUGCCUGCAGACAGCAACCCUGCAACAUCGAGGCCAUCCAUUGUGCAACAGCCUGUCCAGACCAGUGGCAAUAAGGGAACUGCUGCAGUGAACUUCUUGAGCUUGCCUGCAGAAGGCAGCACCGCAACCUGGACCUCAGAUUCUGCAUCUGACUCUGACAAUGAUGGCAUACCUCUGCGUGAUGUGCUUGCCACGCUGAGACGGAAGGGACCCAAAGCGGUUGGAAGUGUUGUGCCCUCUGCACCAGCAACAGAUGAACCAGUUCAAGUACCCAUCGCUUAUCCCCAGGCAGCAGAUGAACCAGUUCAAGUACCCAUCGCUUAUACACAGGCAGCAGAUGAACCAGUUCAAGUACCCGUCGCUUAUCCCCACGCCUCAUCUGCUGAAGCUCUAGGGAUGCCUGUUGGUGUGGCCGCACCUGAAGCCGCACCACUGCCGGAGCCCAUCAGUGUGCCGGAACCUCUGCCAGCACCUACUCUUGUCAAUUCACAUGUCGCUCCUGUUAGCAUGCCUUUGCCUGAUCAAACCAUCAACAACAACAACAUGGAGGAGAAGCUUCUGAGGGAACUGGCGGACAUGGGCUUCAGGCAGGUUGACCUGAACAAGGAGGUGCUUCGGCAGAAUGAGUAUGAUCUGCAGAAGUCGGUGGAUGACCUGUGCGGCUUCCAUGAAUGGGACCCACUCCUUGCGGAGCUGAAGGAACUGGGUUUUGAUGAUUGA
rnacentral:rRNA from 1 species